GUAAUCGCGUAUCAGCUACGACGCGGUGAAUACGUUCCCGGGCCUUGUACACACCGCCCGUCAAGCGAUGGAAGUGAGGAGUACCUAACGUCGCCGUGCCAACCGUAAGGAGGCAGGUGCCUAGGGUAAGCUUCAUAACUGGCGCUAAGUCGUAACAAGGUAGCCGUACCGGAAGGUGCGGCUGGAUCACCUCCUUU
rnacentral:rRNA from 1 species